GAUUUUAUUAUUUCCUAGUUUAUUUCGGUUUAAAUUAGUAUUUCUAAUUAGAAUUGAAUUAGAUUCUAAAAUUCUAAUGUGAUUGGAUUCCUAAUUCUAUAAAUAAUAAUUAGGGUUCCUAUUGUUAGGGGACAAGCAUUGUUAUGACAAUUUUUAUGAGAUCAAUAAUAUAUUGAGAAUUAGUUCUCUCUUUCAAGGAUUGGUCCUUGAUUUUUCUUUG
rnacentral:misc_RNA from 1 species